rnacentral:rRNA from 1 species
GGGGAAUAUUGGACAAUGGGCGAAAGCCUGAUCCAGCCAUGCCGCGUGUGUGAAGAAGGUCUUCGGAUUGUAAAGCACUUUAAGUUGGGAGGAAGGGCAGUUACCUAAUACGUGAUUGUUUUGACGUUACCGACAGAAUAAGCACCGGCUAACUCUGUGCCAGCAGCCGCGGUAAUACAGAGGGUGCAAGCGUUAAUCGGAAUUACUGGGCGUAAAGCGCGCGUAGGUGGUUAGUUAAGUUGGAUGUGAAAUCCCCGGGCUCAACCUGGGAACUGCAUUCAAAACUGACUGACUAGAGUAUGGUAGAGGGUGGUGGAAUUUCCUGUGUAGCGGUGAAAUGCGUAGAGAUCAGGAGGAACAUCCGUGGCGAAGGCGACUGCCUGGGCCAACACUGACACUGAGGCACGAAAGCGUGGGGAGCAAACA